CACGCCGUAAACGAUGAAUACUAGGUGUGGGAGGGUCCAACCUUCCGUGCCGCAGUUAACACAAUAAGUAUUCCGCCUGGGGAGUACGGUCGCAAGAUUAAAACUCAAAGGAAUUGACGGGGGCCCGCACAAGCAGCGGAGCAUGUGGUUUAAUUCGAAGCAACGCGAAGAACCUUACCUAGACUUGACAUCUCCUGAAUAGCCGGUAAUGCGGCGAAGCCCUUCGGGGCAGGAAGACAGGUGG
rnacentral:rRNA from 1 species